CAAUUACAGUAAUAUGACUGCUCCCUGUGUUUGAUGAAUUUUAAACAUUAUUGUAAUUUAGCUUAACUUAGAAGCUAUGUUCAUAUUUCAUAGUUAACCAAUUUUGCAACGCUAACUUCAACCCCUGUCAGAACGGUGGAACAUGUAUGCCAGCAGGUACCUACUAUGCAUGCGCCUGUAUUACUGGCUACUCAGGAUACGAUUGUAACGUUGUUCCUUCUCCUUAGUGAGUUCACAUGUCAGUGAGAGUAAGCACACAUCUGAGCAAGAAAUAGCACCACUAGUAUAGGCCUAUCUCUUUAAUUAUUAGUAUCAUUUCUGCCCAUCGUACCUUAGUUUAUUUAGUUUUUUUUUUUUUUUUUGGACUACGAUAUACUACUUCAUUAAGAAAAAUAAGGCGUCAAGGAGUACACCUCACGAGGAUGUACACUGACACAUAAUUUAUCAUGGUUUUUUUCAUGGACCUUUCUGGAAGUUUCAAACUGACCAAUCAGAACAGGUCCUGCAAUACGCUUGUGUCCUACAAGCACGCGUUGUGUUGUCCCACACACGGGCGUGUGACGUGUGGGUAAUGCUUUUACCAAAGGGUAUAGAACUACAAGAGGUCCGACUGUCGGGGUUUCGUUGGAACGCAAUCUCAUCUCAAAAAGCAAUGCUACGAAGGGGCGUGUCCUUCAAAAGAAUAUAAAAGUCGUUCGUAUCGAACGCGUGCUGUGGUCUAUAAUAGCGUAUGUGAUGUUCGAGUUUCGAAACGCAGCACGCGUUCAAUACGAACGCCUUUUACGUUCUUUUGAAGGACACGCCCCUUCGUGGCAGUACUUUUUAACGUUUCAUUGCCUGCAUAAAAAUAAGGGCAGUCGGACCUCUUACAGUUCUAUACUCUUUGCUUUUAAACUUUUUGUCAGACCUCAGCAACAAUCGCCAACAAACGGGUAUAUUUGUAGAGUCAUCAUUCAUGUUAAAUUUUAAUGGCUGAAUGGAUGUACAAGUAUAAUCUUCCAAUAGGCCUAUGUGGUAUUUCGUAGUAUCAGUGACAAAUUAGGCCUAUAUACACUAAAAGUAUUCUUGUUAAAAUUAGUUUAUCGCUUGUUAUAUAUAUUUUCUGUAAUACUUAUUUAUUCGAUAUAAUUGCACUUCUUUUGUUUAGUAAAACAGAUUUAGUGGUAUUAACAUAAUGUUAAAGGAGCAUCAAAAUAUCAUGACAGCGCAGGCAAGGGCGCAUCCAUAUUCUCAAUAAUUUGUUAUAUACCUGUCUUGAUUUUAGCAAUCCUAAUGACCUGGUACAUUACGGUAUCGUAUACAUAUUUAGCAAUAUAUAGUAACGAUGAUUAUUAUUGCAUAACACGUAAUUUCUUCUGUUUAAAAAAAACCCGAUUAUUUAGAUCAAAUUCCUCGGAAAGAUGUCAUCAUUGUGGGGAACUACAAUGUUAGGCAUAUGAUAAAUUUCCAUCAAAAUGCUUACCGUAAGUCACGUUCUGUAAGAGGUAUUGUGUUCACUAUUAUAAUUAGUAGUAAGCCUAUAUCAGGCAUACCUUCUGUACUGUUUAAAAAUAAUGAUUAUAUUUUAAAUCAAGAUGGAAAAUACCUCACGAAAAUGUCAACAUUUUGAGUUGCAACAAUGCUACAUAUUUUAUGAUCAAUUUAUAUGAUAAUGUUUAGAGGAUAGAGUUAGCAUUAAUGUGUUCCAUUUUGUUUUUAUUAUUAUGAGAAUGUAAUCUAUAAGACGUAAUAUAUUUAAUAUGUGUUUAGACGCAAGAUUAGAUACCAUGUGGGAUACUUUUUACGAAGGCUUAUUGAAUGUAGAUAAUUUUGUAAUAAAAUAAUCAUUUUUGUGGUUAAUCA
rnacentral:lncRNA from 1 species